UACGUAGGGGGCAAGCGUUGUCCGGAUUCAUUGGGCGUAAAGAGCUCGUAGGCGGUUCAGUAAGUCGGGUGUGAAAGCUCCGAGCUCAACUCGGAGAGGCCACCCGAUACUGCUGUGACUUGAGUCCAGUAGAGGAGCGUGGAAUUCCUGGUGUAGCGGUGAAAUGCGCAGAUAUCAGGAGGAACACCAAUGGCGAAGGCAGCUCGCUGGGACGUGACUGACGCUGAGACGCGAAAGCGUGGGGAGAAAACAGG
rnacentral:rRNA from 1 species